CAGUCGCCGCGGUAAUACGAAGGGGGCUAGCGUUGCUCGGAAUUACUGGGCGUAAAGGGAGCGUAGGCGGACAUUUAAGUCAGGGGUGAAAUCCCAGAGCUCAACUCUGGAACUGCCUUUGAUACUGGGUGUCUUGAGUGUGAUAGAGGUAUGUGGAACUCCGAGUGUAGAGGUGAAAUUCGUAGAUAUUCGGAAGAACACCAGUGGCGAAGGCGACAUACUGGAUCAUUACUGACGCUGAGGCUCGAAAGCGUGGGGAGCAAACAGGAUUAGAUACCCGAGUAGUCCCUGUCUCUUAUAC
rnacentral:rRNA from 1 species